GACUACCGGGGUAUCUAAGCCUGUUUGCUCCCCACGCUUUCAUGCCUCAGCGUCAAUAAUGUUCCAGUAGAUCGCCUUCGCAAUCGGUAUUCCUGGUGAUAUCUACGGAUUUUACCCCUACACCACCAAUUCCAUCUACCUCUCCCAUAUUCUAGUAAAACAGUUUCAAGAGCAGUUCAACGGUUGAGCCGUUGGAUUUCACUCCUGACUUAUAUUACAGCCUACGCAUCCUUUACGCCCAGUGAUUCCGAGUAACGCUUGCACCCUCCGUAUUACCGCGGCUGCUGGCACGGAGUUAGCCGGUGCUUAUUCAUAAGGUACCGUCAUUAUCUUCCCUUAUAAAAGGAGUUUACACACCGAAAUGCGUCAUCCUCCACGCGGCGUUGCUGCAUCAGAGUUUCCUCCAUUGUGCAAUAUUCCCCACUGCAGCCUCCCGUAGG
rnacentral:rRNA from 1 species